rnacentral:rRNA from 1 species
AGCGAACGCUGGCGGCAGGCCUAACACAUGCAAGUCGAACGAACCUUUCGGGGUGAGUGGCGAACGGGUGAGUAACACGUGGGUGAUCUGCCCUGCACUUCGGGAUAAGCCUGGGAAACUGGGUCUAAUACUGGAUAGGACCACUUCUUGGAUGGUGUGGUGGAAAGUUUUUUCGGUGUGGGAUGAGCUCGCGGCCUAUCAGCUUGUUGGUGGGGUAAUGGCCUACCAAGGCGUCGACGGGUAGCCGGCCUGAGAGGGUGUACGGCCACAUUGGGACUGAGAUACGGCCCAGACUCCUACGGGAGGCAGCAGUGGGGAAUAUUGCACAAUGGGCGCAAGCCUGAUGCAGCGACGCCGCGUGGGGGAUGACGGCCUUCGGGUUGUAAACUCCUUUCGCUAGGGACGAAGCGUUUUUGUGACGGUACCUGGAGAAGAAGCACCGGCUAACUACGUG